CCUACGGGAGGCAGCAGUGGGGAAUAUUGCACAAUGGGGGAAACCCUGAUGCAGCGAAGCCGCGUGAGUGAAGAAGUAUUUCGGGAUGUAAAGCUCUAUCAGCAGGGAAAAAAAUGACGGUACCUGACUAAGAAGCCCCGGCUAAAUACGUGCCAGCAGCCGCGGUAAUACGUAAGGGGCAAGCGUUAUCCGGAGUUACUGGGUGUAAAGGGAGCGUAGGAGGCAUGGUAAGCCAGAAGUGAAAACCCAGGGCUUAACUCUGUGGAUUGCUUUUGGAACUAUCAAGCUAGAGUGCUGGAGGGGUAAGCGGAAUUCCUAGUGUAGCGGUGAAAUGCGUAGAUAUUAGGAGGAACACCGGUGGCGAAGGCGGCUUACUGGACAGAAACUGACACUGAGGCUCGAAAGCGUGGGGAGCAAACAGGAUUAGAUACCCCAGUAGUC
rnacentral:rRNA from 1 species